rnacentral:rRNA from 1 species
UCGGAUCAGGUAUGUCCCGGC